rnacentral:lncRNA from 1 species
AAGUGUUUGUCAGUCUUGUUUGUAUUAUUGCCAGUGUUAUACAUGGCCGGACACUGCGCCACGCGACUGCAUUGCCAGCCACGAGGAAGUCUGACAAGUAUCACAAGCUCGAGGACUGACUGGACUAUAAAGUGGGACUUGUCUUAAAAGGUAAAAAGACGUCUGCGGUGUAGUUCAGAACUCUUGGGUUCAGUCUCUAGUAUGUGAAGAUAGGAAAGGAGAGGAAGUUCUCACAACACAAUAUUAAACUAUUGCCACUGCUACAUGGGGAAAAUGCUAAGUAUACAUUUUGUUUUCAGUGCUCGAGAUUGUAUCCUGGGCCUUGAACAUGUCUAGUAACCUCCCCACCUCCAAGCUACAUUUCCAACCCCAAAUAAAAAUGACCAAAGCUUUACAAAGAUAUAAU